rnacentral:misc_RNA from 1 species
UCAAACUUGGUCAUUUAGAGGAAGUAAAAGUCGUAACAAGGUUUCCGUAGGUGAACCUGCGGAAGGAUCAUUAAUGAAUUCUAAUGCUGGGGUUGUAGCUGGCCUUUCAAUCGAGAGGUAUUGUGCACGCCUUGGUUAUUCCAAUUCUUACACCUCUGUGCACUUUACAUAGAAAGAUUUAUUAGUUGAGUGAAAGGGUCGACUCUUCGGAGUUGAACCAAGUAAUUCGACUGGUAAGCUCUCUGUGGUUCAAUACAUUUAUACCAGUCAGUUCAGAAUGUAACCCUGCGUACAACGCAAACUAUUAUAUACAACUUUCAGCAACGGAUCUCUUGGCUCUCGCAUCGAUGAAGAACGCAGC